GGAUUGUGGCUCAGUGGCAGAGUGCUUGCCUUGCACAUGUGAGGUGCUGGGUUCGAUCCUCAGCACCA
rnacentral:tRNA from 1 species